UGGGGAAUCUUGGACAAUGGGGGCAACCCUGAUCCAGCCAUGCCGCGUGAGUGAUGAAGGCCUUAGGGUCGUAAAGCUCUUUCGCCUGUGAAGAUAAUGACGGUAGCAGGUAAAGAAACCCCGGCUAACUCCGUGCCAGCAGCCGCGGUAAUACGGAGGGGGUUAGCGUUGUUCGGAAUUACUGGGCGUAAAGCGCACGUAGGCGGACCAGAAAGUUGGGGGUGAAAUCCCGGGGGCUCAACCCCGGAACUGCCUCCAAAACUAUUGGUCUAGAGUUCGAGAGAGGUGAGUGGAAUUCCAAGUGUAGAGGUGAAAUUCGUAGAUAUUUGGAGGAACACCAGUGGCGAAGGCGGCUCACUGGCUCGAUACUGACGCUGAGGUGUGAAAGUGUGGGGAGCAAACAGGAUUAGAUACCCUGGUAGUCCACACCGUAAAACGAUGAAUGCCAGUCGUCGGGUAGCAUGCUAUUCGGUGACACACCUAACGGAUUAAGCAUUCCGGCC
rnacentral:rRNA from 1 species